GCAGGGAGCUAGCCCCCAAGUAUAGGCUACCCAGAGUGCUUAGCCGGCCGCUCCCCAGGACCUCCACCUGUUAGGAGAACCCCAGAAAGCUGCAAGAGAACUCAGCCAUGGAUACCUGCCGCUACUCACAUCUGUAACCUCAGUACUCAAGAGCCUGAGGCAUGAUCACAUGAACUGGGAAGCUAGCCUCAUCUACACAGAGAGAUCCUGCUUGGCGUCAGCGGGGAGCGAGCGCCCUCUGGUGGUCUUCCUCGGUCUAGAGGGAAAGACCUCGACCUUAGAAGAGAAAAGGGUCCGAGGGACCGACCCAUCUCAUCACUCCAAAACUUCAGUCGGUGUAUCUUUCCCAAGGAAGACAGAGGAAGAGUAAUGACUCCUUGGAGACCUUUAUAAACCCGCUGCCUUCAGGAUACUAUUUACACGCUGAGUCCUCAUUCACUACAUUUCUCCUGGUUGCUAUGAGCCACGUUUUAGGCUGUUGUUAGUCAUGUUCCUCACGGGAGCACCCAGCCCGUCCAGGAAGCCCAUCGCUGUGUUCUCCCCUAAGCCUGAAUCCCACCCUCGGGGAGCCAAAGGACUCUUUCUAGUGUGUCCUCUCUAAAACCUUGGUUUUCUUCUUUUCGAAGCCACUGGAAAUUAGAUUGAAAUCUGGAAAGUGGCAUCGUGGGAACAAGGCUAAGCAGACAGAUGUCUCUGGCAGGAAGUGGUCAACUCUUUGAAUGCUUCUAAUGAUGGUUACUGGUUGAAUUAAGAUCAGGACUGCUAAUUGCUUGCCGAAUUCAGCAAAUGAAGGCCCCUGGAGAACCUGACAAAGGCUGUGUCCUCCAAGCUGAGAGGGUGAACGUUUGAUAAGAUUGGGCUCAAGAGGAAAUGAGAGAAGUCUGAGAGACAGCCGAGGACAGGGUGUUUUGAGGACUAAACCUGAAAGAUAAGCAUUCACUCUGUUACUGAGCCAUGUGCUCAGCCAUGAAGGGGGUGGGGGUGGGGAUAUGACUAAAAAGGCAAGUAGUGCCAAGAGAAUGUGGUUCUUUGUUUGUCUUGAGACAGGAUUUCUCUGUGUAGCCCUGGCUGUCCUGGAACUUGCUCUGUAGACCAGGCUGGCCUCCAUCUCAGAUAUCGGCCUGUUUCUGUGGCAUGUGGCACCACCGCUACUUUAAAAUGGUUUUUGAAACUUAA